UUGAAUGAAAAUAAUGGCAAAUUAUUACAUUGUUCACACAAAUAGUUCUAUCAAAUUCAACAUCCACUAGAACCAAAAAUUAAAGGACCAAGAUACAUACUAUGUGGUAAAAAAAUAUACUAAAAGUACAUAAACUAAUGAUCCAUUACACAAAAUAAAUAGCUCAUGAAACCAUAAAACUGAUAUGCUAAAAGUAAAUCACCAGCACCUAGCAACAUCCAACACAUCACCAGUAAUGACAGCCAGCGACAUCUAACAGACACAAAACAUCCGCCAUCACGAGUAAAUCUAUCGAACAAAACCAAUCAAUUUUACAAAUACAGUAGAUACUUAAAAAUGAUAAAGGAAAUGUUCACUUAAAACUAACUACAAAAAAUUAGAAAGCACGACAUUAUAAACUUUACAUUAUUUAAAACUGAUUACAUCCCCUAAAAUGUCUUGCAUACUGUUCAU
rnacentral:lncRNA from 1 species